rnacentral:rRNA from 1 species
UACGUAGGGGGCAAGCGUUGUCCGGAAUCAUUGGGCGUAAAGAGCGCGUAGGCGGCCCUGUAAGUCCGCUGUGAAAGUCAAGGGCUCAACCCUUGGAUGCCGGUGGAUACUGCAGGGCUAGAGUCCGGAAGAGGCGAGUGGAAUUCCUGGUGUAGCGGUGAAAUGCGCAGAUAUCAGGAGGAACACCAAUAGCGAAGGCAGCUCGCUGGGACGUGACUGACACUAAGGCGCGAAAGCGUGGGGAGCGAACGAGG